rnacentral:rRNA from 1 species
CAGCAGCCGCGGUAAUACGAAGGGGGCUAGCGUUGUUCGGAUUUACUGGGCGUAAAGGGCGCGUAGGCGGACUGAUAAGUCAGGGGUGAAAUCCCAAGGCUCAACCUUGGAACUGCCUUUGAUACUGUUUGUCUUGAGUUCGAGAGAGGUAAGUGGAACUGCGAGUGUAGAGGUGAAAUUCGUAGGUAUUCGCAAGAACACCGGUGGCGAAGGCGGCUUACUGGCUCGAAACUGACGCUGAGGCGCGAAAGCGUGGGGAGCAAACAGGAUUAGAUACCCCAGUAGUCCCUGUCUCUUAUAA